rnacentral:lncRNA from 1 species
AAGGGGGAUACGUGUAAACCACAAGAAGACCAGGCCAGGAGUUUCUCCACCCCCACUCCCCAGGUGAAGGUAGCCUAGACUAGUGUGGUGAUGGAAGAGACAGAGGAGGACAGACUCAAGGACAAUUUGCACGGCAAAAACCAGUAGGAUUCGCUGAUGGACGGAAUACAGGAGGGGAGAGGUAGAUUGUUAGGGCUAUAGCUUAGUUUUCUUAUACAAGAUGGAUUCAGUUGCAAUGACAUUGUUAAUUGAAACUGACUUUAAAUAAUGACACGACCUACUUAGGCAAACAUUUGCCUCAGAUAAAAUGUCAACUUUAUUACAGUUUUUAGCUGGAUGGACAGCACGGCUCUACUUCCUAUCUCUUGGUGUCUCUUAAUGUUGUUAACAAAAGGUUUUUCUCUUCUGAAAGGCUUAUUUCAGUGGAAGUCCAUCUGCAAAACCUGUUCUAAAUUUAAGUUAGAAAAUAACUACGAGUGCCAUUGACACGCUCAUUAUUGUUUUUGAGAGUGCCCUAAGGCCGCCUCUGGGGGAUCUGGGGACUGCCUUGUGAAGCCUGCGCGUCUGCACCGGGUGCCCUGCCUGGCGGCAGCGCCAAACCUGCAGUCCUAAGAGCGGGUUCGCUCGGGCCCCCAGGGGGUGUGUUUCCUGCCGCUUAACCUGCUAGGGGCGGUUCCAGUUGCCAGGAAAUGAAGCGCUUUUCAGGAUUCCGGGCCGUUGCUUUGAAAGAGAGGCGGAGGGGUGGCGGGAUUUCCCGGUUCUUGCCUCACUGGUCCAUCCGCCAGCGGCCCCUGACAAGGUUGUGCCCUUGAGGUGGACGGGCCCUUUAAGGCCCGCGCCUGCGCUUUGGGCUCUCAGCCGGGCGACCUGGAGGAGCCCGCGGGCUGCGGGAGGGGCUGGGCGGCGGUUGAGACGGCGGUUCCCGGAGUCGUAGGAUGCGGGUCCCCGGGCGCUGGAGUUUCUGAGUGAGCGCGAGACGCUUUUGUCAACGGCAGAAGGGCGACCUGCGGAGCCAGGAGCAGGCGGGGGCGCUGCAGGGCCGCGGCCAUCUCCACGGGAAGUUAACGUUUCCGGUGAAGUCCGCCCAGCGGUUCCGAGACAGGGUCUCACUCUGCUGCCCAGCCUGGAGUGUGGUCACAUGAUCUCAGCUCACUGCAGCCUCUACCUCCUGGCUCAAGUGAUCCUCUCACCUCAGCUCGUGAGUAGCUGUGACUAUAGGCAUGUGCCACCAUUGUCUGGCUAAUUUUUAUAUUUUUUGUAGAGAUGAGGAUUAUUCAACAUGUUUCCCAGGUUGGUGUGGAACUCCUGGGCUCAAGUAGUCUGCCUGCUUCAGCCUCUCAGAGUGCUGGGAUUACAGGUGUGACCAUCCCCACCUGGCUUGUGAUUCACUUUU